GUUUUUGUCGGCGGGAUAGAGCCGGGGACCUUUGGGUCCCGAGCCGAAGAUCUUAACCACUAGACAAAAGAAA
rnacentral:tRNA from 13 species